UCAGCUGCCUCAUUUGGAGCUCAAUAACAAUUUCUGUGGAAAUUUCAUCAACAUGAAGAAACAUACCUUCCUUGCCAAAACACAGACCGAAAAGAUUAAAAAUGCUGAGGAGGCGACUUUGGUGGUAAACCCAAGAGCCUUCCAAUCUGAAGGAUGACUGAGGCUGAUCAAGAGC